GUUCCCUUUGUGGCACAGCGGAAACGAAUAUGAUUAAGAACCAUGAGGUUGCAGGUUCAAUCCCUGGUCUUACUCAGUUGGUUAAGGAUCUGGCGUUGCCAUGAGCUGUGGUGUAGGUUGCAGUCUCAGCUCGGAUCCCGAGUUGCUGUGGCUGUGUUGUAGACUGGUGGCUACAGUUCCGAUUAGACCCCUAGCCUGGGAACCUCCAUAUGCCGCAGGAGGGGCCCUAGGAAAGACAAAAAGACAAAGAAAAAGAAAAAGAAAAAGAAACUGAAUUAUUGAAAAGAAACUGAAGAAUUUAACUCUUAGCCAGCCUACACUUAACCAACCUUCACAAUCAAUGCCUUCCAGAUCCCCCUUCUAAAACAAAGUGACAUGUAAUACUAAAGGCUAACAUCUCAUAUAUUCCACUUGUGCCCACCAAGAGUAGACUAAUUUGUUCCUUCACUGUUCAUAUCAGUUGUUAAAUUAAAUUGUGGAAUUUAAUUAUGAGCAUAAAGAACAAAAUGAGUAUAAAGAAUUGUUUCUAUAAAAACUGAGUUGAAAAAAUUGAAUAUUUUGGUAUAAUAGAUAAUUUAUUCUAAAAAUGCUACUGAAUUGGUUGUGGGUGAGACUACUGUAAAAUAUUAACAUUUGACAGAUUAUAAGUGUCUUUAACAUCUCUCUCCAUUUUAAAGAAAUCAAAACUUGAAAUCAUAAAUACAUUAUGCUAAAAAUCUGAUGCAGGUGCCAGUCUGUGGAUUCGUAUACCAAGAAAAGGCCUUGUGGCCCUAGAUAAAUGUUUCCUGACCCCAGCACUAUGGACAUUUUGGACUAGAGAAUCCGUUGGAGAUGGGUGCAGGGGUGGAAAACAAUACUACUCUGUGAAUUAAGAGAUGCUUAGCAGCAUCCCCGGCUUCUCUACCACCCACUCAAUGGCAACAGCAGCACCCCACAAUAGUUUCAGCAAUCGAAAUGUCUCCAAACAUUGCUAAAUAUCCCCAGGGGGUAAAAUCAUCCCAUUGAGAACUAUUGUCUUGUAUCAAACAAGUAAAAUAUAUGACAUGUAUAUUUAUAUUUUUUCAUUAAAGUAAAAUGUUUAAGUAAUUGACUUUUAAAGGUUUUUUGCUAUAGCCAAUUUUUCUAAUUAAC
rnacentral:lncRNA from 1 species